rnacentral:rRNA from 1 species
CGAGAUGAGCGCUAGUCUCGUGGGCUCGGAGAUGUGUAUAAGAGACAGGUGUGAGAUAAGUUUCAUAGUCGAAAGGGAAACAGCCCAGACCUACAGCUAAGGUCCCAAAGUACGUUUAAGUGGAAAACGAUGUGAAAUUGCGUAGACAACCAGGAUGUUGGCUUAGAAGCAGCCAUACAUUAAAAGAGUGCGUAAUAGCUCACUGGUCGAGUGACUUUGCGCGGAAAAUUUAACGGGGCUAAAACGUACACCGAAGCUUAGGCUUGUCACAAUGUGACAGGGGUAGGGGAGCGUUGAAUGAGGGGUGAAGUCGUAGCGAAAGCGACGGUGGACUUCAUUCAAGUGAGAAUGCCGGAAUGAGUAGCGAGAAUUAUGUGAGAAUCAUAAUGGCCGAAAGCCUAAGGUUUUUGGAGGAAGGUUCGUCCGCUCCAAGUAAGUCGGAAGCUAAGGUGAGGCUGAAAAGCGUAGCCGAUGCACAAACGGUUGAAAUUCCGUUACCACAGAAAGAUUUAAACUAAGGGACACUUUUGAAGAGCUGAUGCCGGGUGUUGGUUACCCCGGUCGUAAGGGAACGAAAUUAAGUAGUGAAGUCAGCGUGGAUGAAGGCGAGAAAAGCUUAGUGUAUAUCUUAUGUGUCCGUACCGCAAACCGACACAGGUAGGUAGGAAGAGAAUUCUAAGGCCAACGGGAGAAGGGUAGUUAAGGAACUCGGCAAAAUGUCCCCGUAACUUCGGAAUAAGGGGAGGUUUCUACGGAAACCCGCAGAGAAUAGUCCCAGGCAACUGUUUAUCAAAAACACAGCUCUAUGCUAAAUCGAAAGAUGACGUAUAUGGGGUGACGCCUGCCCGGUGCCGGAAGGUUAAGAGGAGGAGUGAGAGCCCUGAAUCGAAGCCCCGGUAAACGGCGGCCGUAACUAUAACGGUCCUAAGGUAGCGAAAUUCCUUGUCAGGUAAGUUCUGACCCGCACGAAUGGCGUAAUGAUCUGGGAGCUGUCUCAACUGCCCGCCCGGCGAAAUUGUAGUACCGGUGAAGAUGCCGGUUACCCGCGACUAGACGGAAAGACCCCAUGGAGCUUUACUGUAGCUUAAUAUUGGAUUUCGGCAUUUCAUGUACAGGAUAGGUGGGAGACUAGGAAACAUAGGCGUCAGCUUAUGCGGAGUCGUCCUUGGGAUACCACUCUUGGAGUGCUGAAAUUCUAACCUGCAGCCCUGAAUCGGGUUGGGGGACAUUGUUAGGUGGGCAGUUUGACUGGGGCGGUCGCCUCCAAAAAGGUAACGGAGGCGCUCAAAGGUUGGCUCAGCAUGGAUGGAAACCAUGCCAUAGAGUGCAAACGCAAAAGCCAGCCUGACUGCGAGACUGACGGGUCGAGCAGAAACGAAAGUUGGAGUUAGUGAUCCGGCGGUAUGUGAAUGGAAAUGCCGUCGCUCA